GACCCUUCGGGAGCUUGCACAGGUGCUGCAUGGCUGUCGUCAGCUCGUGUCGUGAGAUGUUCGGUUAAGUCCGCUAACGAGCGCAACCCUCGCUGUGUGUUAUAUGUGUCACACGGGACUGCCGGUCUUAAGCCGGAGGAAGGUGGGGAUGAUGUCAAGUCAGCAUGGCCUUUAUAUCCUGGGCUACACACACGCUACAAUGGCCAACACAAUAGGUUGCUAAGCCGCGAGGUGGCGCCAAUCCAUAAAGUUGGUCUCAGUUCAGAUUGUAGGCUGCAACCCGCCUGCAUGAAGAUGGAGUUGCUAGUAACCGCAGGUCAGCUAUACUGCGGUGAAUACGUUCCCGGGGGCUU
rnacentral:rRNA from 1 species